ACAGCAAAUUAGUUGCGUUUACCUUAGUACCAACUUUUCCCCGCUUUUAUAGUUUUAUUGCUGCACAGAGAUUGUGUUCCCAAAACAUCAAAUCAUAAAGAUGAAUUAUGCCAUUACAAAAAUCUAAUGCAAACACCAUUUUUUCACUCCAGGUUUACCUUUUACUUAAGAAGCAAUUCUUUACUGAUGACAGUAGUAAACAAAAGUUGUUAUUAGGCAUUUAUCAGGAAUAACUUACACACACAAAAUACAUAUAAUUGUAACUGUACUAGUUGUAUGAUCGGGCAAUAACAUGACCCAAUCAAGUCAAUUUUUUUUCUCCAAUGUGUUUUUCUGUGCAUUUGGGGGGGCUGCCUGCACUUUAAUUGCUCACUUAGUAGGUCGAUUUUAUUUUUAAUUUUUUUGUUGUUUUUUGCUCACCUCUUCAGUUCUUACCAUUUCCUCCAGUCGAUCUUGAUGAGCUUUUGCAGAACACGAUCCCCCGAUUGAUGAACGAGGGAGUUAUUUUAUCGCAUCCAGGGCCGAUUCUCAUUUUCGUGAAAAGCAUAAAUCCUGCAACAACAAAAAGCGACGAGAAUUAGUAUCACCCUCGCUGCACAGUGUAAACAUUGGAGGCGUGUUAAAACACGCCAAACAACAGAGGAACUUGGGGAAGGCGCCUGCAAUUGGCAACAGAGAAAAGUAGGAGGAAACAGCCAACAUUUCUAAAGUGCAUAAUUCACCCCGGCAUUCUAAUUUCAACUAGCCCGUUGUGUUGGAGAGGAGAAACUGCCCCAAGCCAACGUUAGCCAUCGUCUAUACGUCGACAUAAAGCAACAGCGGGCUGCACUUUUGCACGUCAACCGCAGCUUUGGAACAUUUGGAGUGGAGAAUUUCCACAUAAAAAUGUGCUUACCUGGCCAUUCAGAGCGUAAAAGAUGGAUGCGGCCUGUCACGCCUUCUCCGAGCCGAGCUAGCUAUUAGCUCGAAGCUAGCAGCUAGCGCUGACUUCCGUUAGUGCGUGUUAUUUUCCAGUGUUUAGACGGAGCCAUUUUCACUAACGCCGAGCCAAAAGGCUAAAGCGGGUCCGGCCACCCUCCCGUCUGUCUCCCUCCGCGCGGAAAACAAUCACCGACGGAUAACGCCGUCGUCCUUCCGCAAGACACUCGAGCUUCAACGGGGAACGAGGAAGGAGUUUGCAACCCUAGCCGGAGGAAAAUGUUGGAAUGGUGGUGGGCGCUAAUUAUUUUGGGGUUAAAAAAAGUGAGUGACGUGUGCUCCCCAAACAUCGGUCCUUUCCGGCCCUCCUAAUGUUUCCGGGUAGCGGCAGCAGCGAGGCAAAUCGGUCGACUCUGGGCUGCUGAUUUACUCAGGACGCACUGCUUUUUUCACUUUUGACUAAUCCCUCAUUUGGUCACACAUCACUUCUUCACUUCAGUAAAUCAAAUAAAUACUAGUCCUUCUCAAAAAAAUUAGCAUAUUGUGAUAAAGUUCAUUAUUUUCUGUAAUGUACGGAUAAACAUUAGACUUUCAUAUAUUUUAGAUUCAUUACACACAACUGAAGUAGUUCAAGCCAUUUAUUGUUUUAAAGGGUAUGAAAACGCAAAGGGGGUGUGAGACAUCAAUAGAACCGUUAUGUGCCAAGAUAACAAAUAUUGAUAAAGUUAACAAAAAAAUCAAUCACAUUAAUGAGCAAUUAUCGAAAAUAGAUCGAAAAUGACAAACAUUUCCGAAAGUGUUCCGGAAACAGCCGAAUGGGCCGGAGACGUCAUAACAAGGAAACAAAAGGUCGAGGCAGGUUCCAUCGUUGUUUAUCGACGAGAGAGUUGCGUUCGUGUUUUAUCAAAAAAUCGCUAAAAUGGUUCAAACCUGUCAUGCUAUGUGGUUUACAAUAGCCAUUUGUCGCAAUGUAGUCCCAUGAGUUCCCGAACGCGAGAAAAAGAGCUGGACUACGCAGACAAUGAGUAAAGUUCGUCAGUGCUUAGAGGGCUAAUUUUGCAGACCCAGCCUCCGGCACGGUUUUAUGUGGUGUGCAUUUUACACCUGAAAGCUAUACGAACUAUGGGCAAAUGAAAUCAGGUUUUGCUCAGAAAUUGCUGCUGAAAGCAGAUGCGGUGCCCGGUGAAAGAGGACGAGGACUGGCUCUGAUGAGACCACCUCACCACCCCAGGCAAAGCAAAGGAGGGAAAUGGCCAGAGUAACCAUUCAGGAUCGCUGUUUCGUGACGCUACCGAUGGCAAAGGCUCCCAGGAAAGAUGAACUACAAUUAAUCCCUACAUGUUUGAACCUGAGUCGUCAGAUGACGACGAUUUGCUUGACACAGCAGAUGUCUUCAUGACGCCAAUUGACAGGUCGACACUUCACGAACGGGAGAGUGAGUGCUAAAACUGGAUAUUAGGUAAUGGGACAGCUCCUACCGGUCUAAAUAUGGUGUUGCUGUAAACCGUCAAGUAAUUACCCUUCCAAGAGUAUGCCUGUGUCGUCAGGAGAUCCCAGACGUGAGAGCCAAACUUGAGGCUGAAGCACUGACAGGGGCAUGAAUUACAUUAAAAA